rnacentral:lncRNA from 1 species
CCGACCGCUACGGCCAAGGCCGCGGGAAGCCGCCGCGAAAGACCGCAGUCGCUUCGGCUGGGCCUCGGGCCCGCUGCCGUUUGCUCGCUCCCUGUCGCGACUCCUGGCCGCGGCUCGCCACCACCCAACAUACCGCCCCUACAGACACGACGCACCUCGUAGAAGGCUUGCACCAUCUCCACCAGGACCCACUGCUGCCCCAUGCCCACCGCCGCUGCCAUCUCCACGUCCGCCCGUCUACUCACAACCGACCAGCUUCCGCCCCGGCGCCCCGACGCCGACGUGAGGGGAGGGGCCACCGCCCACGGCCUGGGGAGAGCGCUCCCUGUCGCCCGGAGGGAGGGGAGCACAGUUGACGGUUGCGGCGCAGCUGGGCAGCGGCGGCGCCGUGGCGGGCAGCGUGCCAGCGUGGGCCCGGCGCCACCACCGGCGGAGCGGGGUGGAGACGUGGGGCUGGAGGGGAGAUUGAGGCUGCCGGUGCUGAAGGCUGACGGAUGGGAAAAGUGGAGCGCGAAGCUGGGGGAAGCUCGAGAGAAACGUGGCUCAGCCUCCACCAAAGGAACUGAUUCGUAAUAGUGCAAAAAGCACUCUCGUAAUGGGAUUGCUGGGCAUGUUGGAGCAACGUUCCUGACAUGCACACACUACGACGAAACCUGACAGGAAACCGAUAGCUUUGUGUCGUGACCACAAGCUUCUGCACAAUGUUGUGUAGGAGUAAGGGCACCCACUGGUCACUGUGUUUCUACAUUCUAGCCAUCUCAAUCUAUGACAGCAUCUUCAACUGCUUCAGCUGUAGUGAUUAAAGUGACAUGAAGUGGAAAUGCCAUACAACAAGGACCAAAUGUGACCUCAACUGCUAGAAGCUGAUUACUAUUGUUAUUAUCCUGAGCAGCCACAGUCCUCUUUUCAAAGUAUUUUUAGUUAAAUUUAGACUUUCAGAUCAAAAAGCUAACUUAUGGGAUGUAGGCACAGUAUUAUCUCCUGCCUACAAUUCUCUUUGCAGUGACUAGGCGGGCUUUUCUGCGCUGGGCUAAGCACUUAAGUUUCCGAUAAAUGUCAGAUGAAAGUAUCUUAACAUGGAAUUGACAACAGAUAAACCCAGUUCUGUGUUGAUUAGAAAAAACUUGUGUUAGGAACUUGGAAGAACAUCUUAACCAAACUGCUAAGAUCACCAACAGAACAGACACUAAAUGAGAAUGCUUGCCUUACAGAGAGAAGGUUACCCAUAUGCAGUGUUGCAAAGCUGAACUAGGUUUUCUGUCUCGUGUGGCCAAAUCCCA